rnacentral:rRNA from 1 species
UGAGUAACACGUGAGCAACCUGCCCCAGGCUUUGGGAUAACCCCGGGAAACCGGGGCUAAUACCGAAUAUGACCUCUGACCGCAUGGUUGGUGGUGGAAAGUUUUUCGGCUUGGGAUGGGCUCGCGGCCUAUCAGCUUGUUGGUGGGGUGAUGGCCUACCAAGGCGACGACGGGUAGCCGGCCUGAGAGGGCGACCGGCCACACUGGGACUGAGACACGGCCCAGACUCCUACGGGAGGCAGCAGUGGGGAAUAUUGCACAAUGGGCGGAAGCCUGAUGCAGCGACGCCGCGUGAGGGAUGACGGCCUUCGGGUUGUAAACCUCUUUCAGCAGGGACGAAGCGUAAGUGACGGUACCUGCAGAAGAAGCGCCGGCCAACUACGUGCCAGCAGCCGCGGUAAGACGUAGGGCGCGAGCGUUGUCCGGAUUUAUUGGGCGUAAAGAGCUCGUAGGCGGCUUGUCGCGUCGA